rnacentral:lncRNA from 1 species
GCCUGGGCAGUGAUUGGUUCACUGGGUUGCUGGGGUAAAAGUUAUGUUGCAAUUUUGGUGGGAGGGGUAAAAUGUUUAAAUACUCUGCACGCAGCCUGGAGCUUUCUCUUUGCUUCGUGCAACGGAUCACCUGGAGCACUUGGGCUGUCUGGAGGACAGUAGAGUGAUCUUCUCAUUGUCUGGUUACAUGCCUUUAUUUUCCCCUUCUUUUAAUCCUCUCUAGUCCCUUAAUUAAUUUAAUUCCCCUUUUUCCCCCUGUUUGGUUUCCCACCCCACCCCUUACCCUGCCCUGUGGGAAGAUUCUCCCUGUACCUGUGAGCGCUGCCUGUGCAUCAUCCUCCUGGGCUUGUCUUUCCCAGUAGGGAGAGAGCCCCCAUUAGGGGCUUUAUUUAGCAAAAUGAUUUUCCCCAUUUCGUCUGUUUGUUAAUUGUGGGGCUAGUCAGGGCUGUUCCCAGCUUACUUGGAAUCACUUUCGUUUAUAGUAUCCUCAUAGGUUGGCUUUAUUUUGGGUGAUUGCAGUUCUGUUGGCUGAAUUUUAAUCUAGCCUUGGGCGGAAGCACUAUUUUGAGUUCCUUUAAUAUUGCAAUGAGACAAAAAGGCAGCGCGCAGAAGCAGGGAGGCCUGCACAGCCCGCACAGAUCAUUCAAGCCUAAGCCUGCUACAGUUAGCAGUACAGUAAAUUGUGAAGUCUCUGUGACAUGUGACUCAUUCUCUCUCUAAGAAUGUAUCUGUUGUUUGCAGGCUCAAUGCUAAUGUAUAUCUGAGGCAGACAGAGUGGAGCCAGAGGCUCUCUGUGCCUCCAAUGAGCACUCUGUGUGUGCUCUUUAACUAUGCUGUUUCUGAACAAGUUUAUUUUCUUCAAGUUUGUUUUGCCCUGAUAGUGGCAACUGCCGUUUUAGAGACGAGCCAUUGUGGCUUAGUGGCUAGAGCGCAGUACUAGGACCUGGGAGACAGGGUUCAUAUCCCUCACUUAGCCAUUGUUAUAACAAGGCAAAACAAGCUGCUCCUUUUGGACUAUUUUGUUGCUGGGUAGUUUGGCCCGUUUGUGAUAUUGCUCCCAAAAAGAACUUUGGGUUUCUUGAGGAGGUGCUUCCCUCUAAAGGGCAAGCAGGGGUACCUGGACAGGAAGGGGGGCUGCCUCGAGUUUGUUAUCUCAUUGGAAACAUUUAUGUCUGGCCUAGCAGGUGAUCCUAGGGCUUGGCCCACUUUGCCCUAGAAUUUGAUGGCCUCUGGCAGCAUUUCUGGCCUGAAUAGCGUCCCCAUGUGGUGCACAAAGCAUUGGUUUCACCUGUUCCUCACAUUGUUUAGUUUUUUGAAGACUAUGACAAGGCCUUUGCAGAUGCCUCCAGAGCUUGCCUCUCCUGCAGAGGAUGACUUGCUGAUGCCCCAGGUGCCUUCUUCCAGAAGGAAGCGUCUUCAGAAGCAGCGAUCCAGGAGCAGGAAAAGCGGAGCAGGGAUUAUGCUUACACCUCCUUGCAGGUACAUCAUCCCUAGGCUCUGAUGAUGAUUCAGACAUCACCUUGGACCUCUCCAGGGGUCAGGGUGAGGCUGUUCCAGGUUUUUAGGGAUCAUCCUGGAUAGCUCAGCUGGUCAGCGUAUGGUGCCGGUAAUGCCGAGGUUGCAGGAUUGGUCCCUGUAUGGGACAGCUGCAUGCUCCCCCAUCCCUCUAUCCGGACACUGAGGUCCAGCGCCGAGGGCCUUCUGGUGGUUUCCUCACUGUGAGAAGCCAAGUUACAGGGAACCAGGUGGAGGGCCUUCUCGGUAGUGGCACCCGCCCUGUGGUACGAGAUAUCCCACCAGUACCAGAUAUCCCACCAGAUAUCUACUACCAGACUUUUAGAAGACAUCUAAGGCAGCCCUGUUUAGGGAAGCUUUUAAUGUUUGAUGCAUUACUGUAUUUUAAUAUUUUGUUGAAGCUGCCCAGAGUUGCUGAGGAAGCCCAGCCAGAUGGGCGGGGUACAAAGAGAUGAUUAUUAUUAUUACUGUUGUUCUUGUUGUUAUUAUUAUUAUUAUAUUGUGGGAGAGUGGACUAGAUGAUCCUCGGAGUCCCUUCCAACCCCACUAUUCUAUAAGUGGCAAUUCACUAUGAUGGGAAUGUUAGACGCAGGGCUGCCAUCAUCCCCUCAGCUCGCUAGGAUCGCAGGGACAGGGACAUGUGGACCACUUGCGCAGCUCCACAUUUCAAAUGGAAAUUCCCUGAGCAAUAGAACCUGAAGCUGGUAUAUGGCUUUAGUAGAAAUAUUAUAAGGAAUUAAGUACAGAUAGGUUAAUAGAGUAUUAAAGGAAAAAAAUAAGGUUAGAAUGAGUUAAGAUAAUUAUAGGAUAGAAAACAGGAAGAUGGAAAGAAAUUGCUGAAAUAAUUAACAGAAGUGGAAUACAAAAAGGGAGGUGUGAGGAGGUCGUGGAAAUAAGUGAAUGAAAGAUGGGAUAAUGAAAUUGUUUGAUUUAUUUUAUUGAAUCAUAGAAUCAUAGAAUAAUAGAGUUGGAAUAGACCACAAGGGCCAUCGAGUCCAACACCCUGCCAAGCAGGAAACACCAUCAGAGCACUCCUGACAUAUGGUUGUCAAGCCUCUGCUUAAAGACCUCCAAAGAAGGAGACUCCACCACACUCCUUGGCAGCAAAUUCCACUGUCGAACAGCUCUUACUGUCAGGAAAUUCUUCCUAAUGUUUAGGUGGAAUCUUCUUUCUUGUAGUUUGGAUCCAUUGCUCCGUGUCCGCUUCUCUGGAGCAGCAGAAAACAACCUUUCUCCCUCCUCUAUGUGACAUCCUUUUAUAUAUUUGAACAUGGCUAUCCUAUCACCCCUUAACCUCCUCUUCUCCAGGCUAAACAUGCCCAGCUCCCUUAGUCGUUCCUCAUAAGGCAUCAUUUCCAGGCCUUUGACCAUUUUGGUUGCCCUCCUCUGGACACGUUCCAGUUUGUCAGUGUCCUUCUUGAACUGUGGUGCCCAGAACUGGACACAGUACUCCAGGUGAGGUCUGACCAGAGCAGAAUACAGUGGCACUAUUACUUCCCUUGAUCUAGAUGCUAUACUCCUAUUGAUGCAGCCCAGAAUUGCAUUGGCUUUUUAGCUGCCGCGUCACACUGUUGGCUCAUGUCAAGUUUGUGGUCAACCAAGACUCCUAGAUCCUUUUCAUAUGUACUGCUCUCAAGCCAGGUGUCACCCAUCUUGUAUUUGUGCCUCUCAUUUUUUUGCCCAAGUGCAAUACUUUACAUUUCUCCCUGUUCAAAUUCAUCUUGUUUGUUUUGGCCCCGGUCUCGAAUCUGUCAAGGUCAUUUUGAAGUGGGAUCCUGUCCUCUGGGGUGUUAGCCACCCUCCCAGUUUGGUGUCAUCUGCAAAUUUGAUCAGGAUGCCCUUGAGUCCAUCAUCCAAGUCGUUGAUAAAGAUGUUGAAUAAGACCGGGCCCAAGACAGAACCCUGUGGCACCUCACUAGUCACUCUUCUCCAGGAUGAAGAGGAACCAUUGAUGAGCACCCUUUGGGUUCGGUCAGUCAGCCAGUUACAAAUCCACUGAGUGGUAGCAUAGUCAAGACCACAUUUUACCAGCUUCUUUACAAGAAUAUCAUGGGGCACCUUGUCAAAUGCCUUGCUGAAAUCAAGGUAGGCUACAUCCACUGCGUUCCCUUCAUCUACCAGUCUUGUAAUUCUGUCAAAAAACGAGAUCAGGUUAGUCUGACAUGACUUAUUUUUCAGAAAUCCAUGCUGACUAUUGGUGAUCACAGCAUUCUUUCUAGGUGCUCACAGACUGUUUGCUUAAUGAUCUGCUCCAGAAUCUUCCCUGGUAUUGAUGUCAGACUGACUGGGCGGUAAUUAUUUGGGUCCUCUCUUUUCCCCUUUUUGAAAAUAGGGACAACAUUUGCCCUCCUCCAGUCUGCCGGGACUUCGCCUGUUCUCCAGGAAUUCUCAAAGAUGACUGCCAGUGGUUCUGAGAUCACAUCUGCCAGUUCUUUUAAUACUCUUGGAUGCAGUUCAGAAGCAUCGCCAAUGAUGCCUGUGCUGAUGCCUGUCUGUUGUUCCUUUUUUCAUAGGAGCAGCUGUGCGCAUUUCGAUUGUCGGCCACAGCAUCAUGCACUGAGCUGGCAAGCACCCUGAUGAGUCUGGAUUGGGGGCGCCAUCUCAGCCUUCCUGCCCAUGUUUCUAGCUCUAGUCCGCAUCUGGAUUGUGGGGCACAGCAUCAUUUACUGGGCUGGCAUCAGAGCUAGGCAGUCUGGAAGGGGACUGGGUCUUGGCCUCCCGCAACAUGUGCAGGUGUCAUGGAUAUCCAGGCGCAGAAUGCGGUGGAGCGAAUUCAUCCCGCUAAUUAAGCAGAGGGUGUUUUCGGAUGGCGCCCCCAUGGCAAUUGUGGUGCAGCUGGGGGAGAACAAUGUGGCAACUUAUGAUUGCUUUACUUUGCGCAGAGAGACUUGGGGGAAUUGGUGACCUUAAUACCCACAGUUAAAAUAUUUUGGUCACAAUUGCUGCAAAGGCGCAAUUGGCAUGGCAUUUCUCAACCUGAGGCUGCUGAAAGGGCCAGGAAGCGCAUUAAUUCUGCAGUGUGUAAGAAGGUGGCAGAAUUGGGUGGGUUGGUUAUUUCCCAUCCGGAUAUUACCUUCAAGGAUCUGGCCCUUUACUGCAAUGAUGGAGUACAUCUCUCCGUACUGGGGAAUGAUGUUUGGUUGGAUGCGGUAACUGCAAGGUUGAAGGUUGAGUUGGGAUUGUGAGUGGUUGGGGGCGAGUGUAAAGGGCUCGAUUGGCGGUUAGGCAUUGGUUAUAAAUUGGUGGAGGAGGGGUUAGGAUAGGCUGGGCCUGCCCCUCCAUGGUUGCUGCGGAAAGGGAAUUCCGUUAAAGGAAUCCUGGGGCUUGCCAUCUUUUCGUCCAAUCCCUGGAAUGGGACUAGGGCCGGCAAGCCUUCGGGGAGCAUGCGGGUGAGAAUUGAGGGUCUGUGACUCAGCUCCAUUUCUCUCCGACUUGCUUUCCCCCGCACUGUCUUUCGGUGGUGCCCGGAAGUCAGUUCUGUCCCCAGGCGGGGGGACAGAUAGUCUUAACCAAUGCCUAAACAACCACUCACGGUUUUGUAUUUAAAUAAAGUUGUGGCCAAAAUUAUGCCAAAAACCUUAAACAAAAAUUAAGUGUGCGUUGUGAGUUAUUUGGGGGGUGGCUUGGGGACCUCGUCAUGCAACAUCACCCAAGUUGAAACAGAUGGCUAAUAAGUGCCUGCCUCUUGGCCCUACAGACGUUCAGCAAGUAAAAUUGGGAGGGAGGGGAAUAUGGAUCUGUGGGUGGGGAUCAUUUUUCAUGGAGUUAUUCCAUCCAUGUUUUAUGGUAAUAUCCAUUUCCUAACUGUUCUACUUUUGUAGAAGAAGGUUGAAUGAAAAUAUGAAUUGUCAUAAUGACAGUCUAUCUAAAUUCAGGGUCUCUCACUGCCAGGAUGUGCAGUGAUUUUAACCUUCAGGGCUUUUCCCUUUUAUGCCUUUGUAUUUAUAAAGUGAUACUUGCAUAGAAUAAAUUAAGGACAAUCUUUGCAAGUUAUAAAUGAUUAUUCAUUUGGGCUCUUUUCCAGUAAGUCCCAAUAGUAUUAUAGUAACUCUUUUAAAAAAAUAUUUGUGCCAGAAUGCAGAUUUGUUGUUGGUGAAUUAUUUGAGUUGCAUACAUUCUUAAAAGCAGAUAUCUUUAUCCACACAACACAAUGCUUAUUCGGCUCACUAAUCUGUUGGGACGUAGGGGUAUCAUUUAAGGGGACCAGAAAGGCAGCUGCCCACCAGAGUUCAGAGUAUGCACCAUCAUUCCUCACUAGCACUGAUAAUCUCUGAGCAGCUGAGCAGCCCAAUGUAUCAAGGGACUAUAUGGAGCAACCCUAUUUUUUAGGAGGCAAAAUUUUAUUGCAAUGAUAUAACUGCUGAUCGUUAUAUACUUUAUUUUGGUAUGCAUGUAUAUAUUCGUAAUGGCACAUUUUUAAUGUUGUAACCAGCUCUAGAACCUUAGGGUGAAGCACAGGUAAAUUAUCAAUAAUAAUACUAAAUUCUGGGAUUCGCGUCCUGUGCCUCGUCAGUGGAAGCCCUGCACAAAGCCAUCCCCUUGUGCAACAGGACUUUCCCCUCUUCUCCCUUCAGAAGAACCUCCAGCAGAGCCUUGUCAGGAGAGGAGAAAGGGCAUUGUUCCCUCUGGCAAGCUGACUGAAUAUUCGUAAUAGCUCUAUGUCGUAUUCCACCCGAUGUAUAUAAGGUCUGUCAAGUGGGACUUAAACUGCUACAAGAAGGCAGGUAUAAUAAUUAAUAAUAAUUAAUAUUUACAGUGCAGGCCCAUUAAUAUAAACUCAGUAAAAAAGGUAAAGGGACCCCUGACCAUUAGGUCCAGUCAUGGCCGACUCUGGGGUUGCAGCGCUCAUCUCACUUUAUUGUCCGAAGGAGCCAGCGUACAGCUUCCAGGUCAUGUGGCCAGCAUGACUAAGCCGCUUCUGGUGAACCAGAGCAGCGCACGGAAAUGCCGUUUACCUUCCCGCCGGAGCAGUACCUAUUGAUCUACUUGCACUUUGACGUGCUUUUGAACUGCUAGGUUGGCAGGAGCAAGGACUGAGCAAUGGGAGCUCACCCCAUCAUGGGGAUUCGAACCGCUGACCUUCUGAUCGGCAAGUCCUAGGCUCUGUGGUUUAACCCACAGUGCCACCCGCGUCCCUUAAACUCAGUAGUGCCAUUGAAUUCCGUGGGCUUACUCCCAAGGAAGCAAAUAUAAUAUUGCAGCCUCCCAUAUUUAACAGUUUUAUUAAUAAAUCUUAUUUAUUAUAAAAUAGUUUUAUUAAUUAACAGUUUUAUUAAUAAAUCUUAUUUAUUAUAAAAUUAUAAUAUAGGAUUCUUUGUUGCUUUUGCUGCCACAGACCAACAAGGCUUUCCUUCCAAACUUCCUAUAAAAGUAUUUAAAGAGACUGACUAUUUCAAAGUUCUUCUAACUCCACCAGCUAUAUGACAUGAACAAUGGCUGCAAUAAUUAUUUCUAGCAUUCCCUGAUAGCUAAGCAUGUUCUGUUCACUGAUAACACAGUGGUCAGAAACUUUAGCCAUCUUUAAAGAAGCCUUGGAUAUUAAUUAUCCUUCAUUCAAAAUAAAAGAAAAGUUGCAAUGAGUCUGAACAGCACAAUCCUUUGCACAUUUAUUCAGGAGUAAGUCCUGCUGUGUUCUGUGUGGCUUGCAAGCUAAAAGGUUUCAAUCCUUGCCAGGAAGGGACACAAAUAGAACAGUAGGCAUCUUCUACAAUACAUAAAUCUUAAUGAGUUUUGUACACAGUAUAUGAGAAGGCUAGCACUGAACAAAAUAAAUGGUUAUUGAUAUUAAUGUGGUUUUAAAAAAUAACUUGAUGUGUGCAGUUGUCUAGAUAGCUUCUGUGAACAUACAGAAAACAUGGCUUAUCAAGCUCUUUAAUUUAAUAUAUAGCACAUUUUGAACUAAUAAGACUAAUCAUUGUUCCCUCAUCAUAUCAUAUUUUGCAACACAAAUGGGUUUUUUAACACUGAAAAUAAAAUGCCUGGGUUUUGAAUCUACAUUUUAGUCAUCUUUAAAGAAGCCUUGGAUAAUAAUUAUCCUUCAUUCAAAAUAAAAGGGAGCUGCAAUGAGUCACAUGACCCGCACAAGAUCAUGGGCCUCCCAAAUGUGUGUUUUGGGGUGCCAUGCAAGAUCUCUACUCCCCCAAAAAGUGCUUUUUCAGGGCAGCACUCUUGCACAGUGCCCUAAAACGUGUGGUUUGGGCACUGUGCCUGAAAAAAGUCCAGCCCAAAAUCAUGCAUGAUCGCGGCAGCCACUUUGGCCACUGCCUUCUCUCAAGAAAAAACAGGAUGCCCCCUUUUUUCCAGGGCUGUAUCUAUUUAUUUAUAUUUGGUCAUUAUGAAAAAAACACUGCUUUCUUUAUAAGGUCCCGGGGGUUAAAACCAUAAAAAUGUAAUAAACAUUAAAAAUCCAAAACCAUGUCAUUUCAAAGAAAAUUGAAUCCGCCUGUCAGCAGCAAACACAACAUCACUGACCUCUAAUGCCGCUGUCUGUCCCCAAGCCUCCAGAGACAUGGGGGGCCAUUAAGGGGGCGGUAGCAGCAGCAGCCUCCCCCUCGAAGGGUGCCCCCCCCACCUGGUGAGCCGGGAGGCAUCAGGGUGGCAUGGGGGCAGGACCUUCAGAGGACACUUUUCUUUGGGUCCCUCAGAUGUCGAGCCCACAUGGACUGGAAUUUGUGUUAGCUUGAUGUUUUCAGUUCUCUCUCUAUAGUUAAAUAUUUUAUCAGUCCAUUUGUCAUGUUUUGAGCCCACUUGUUACUGGAUUUCUUUCUGAACUAAUUUGCUGGUUUUUAAUCAUUUCUAUUGUGUUGUUGUUGUGAAUCUGUAUUGCUGUUCAUUGCCUUAGGCACAAUACAGAACUGUAUCUGUUACAAAUGAAUACAAUAUGUAAUUAAUACAUUUUCUCCUUCUGCUCCUACUUAUUUGAUUCCAAGUCUCUUCAGCCUCCUACAAAAUCCUACAACGGUUCCCUCGCCAGCCUUCCUACAAAUAGCACAUGUAUCCUAGUACUGAUCUGCACAACUUGUGACCCAUCAACCCACCAUGCAUGAUACAUCACUCCCACCGUCAUGCAAGAGCCGCUGCUGCUUAAAUUGGAACGUGUAGCUACGCUCCAAAGAAUUAGAGAGCUGGAGCUCUUCUUGGAAGCAACAGAGCACACCGUCUCCACCAAGGAGGAGACAGGGGACUCCCCUGAGAAGGAGGCUAGUUCACCAACACAGGAGAAACGUGAUUCAAAGAAGUAGGAGGCCCAGGGUUCGCUCUGAUUGUUUAGAAAUACACAAUCACUUUGAGGUCCUCUCCCCUAGCAUGGAAGAUGACGAGCAGACUCCAUUUGAGGAUCUCUCCCUCAUUACAGUCGAUCAGGUAUAUGAAGACAAGCAGCAAAGUCAGUCCUCAGGGAAUGUGCAGGCGACCUUGGAACGGACAGCUCACGGAAGAACCCCGACCAGACCUAAGAGGAGGCGUGUAGUGGUGAUAGGGGAUUCCCUACUGAGGGGAACAGAAGCAGUGAUCUGUUGGCCUGACAAGAUGUCUCGGGAAGUGUGCUGUCUCCCCGGGGCUAAGAUCCAAGAUGUAACUGAACGACUGCAAGGAAUCAUAAAACCCACUGACAAAUACCCCUUCCUCUUGGUUCAUGUGGGAACUAAUGACCCUGCAAGCAAUAGCCUCCAGAAGAUCAGAAGAGACUACGAGGCUCUGGGCAGGAAAUUGAAGCAAUUAAAUGCACAAAUUGUCAUCUCAUCUGUCCUCCCAGUUGAACGACGUGGCCCAGGGGGAGAGGGAAAAAUAGUGCAAAUGAACAGCUGGCUUCGCAAAUGGUGUAAACAGGAACGGUUUGGAUUCUUAGAUCACGGACUGCAGUUUCUUGAAGAUGGACUUCUGGCAAGUGAUGGGCUGCACCUUACAACGGUUGGGAGGAAUGUUUUUGCCAAAAAUCUCAGAAACCUCAUCAGGAGGGCUUUAAACUGACUAAUGUGGGGAGGGAGACAGUGCUCCUGAAGGUAGCAGUCUAUCAAUUGAUGAAGAUGAUCAUCCAAAUGUCAUAGACCAAAUGGAGCAAACAGCACACAGACCUAGUGGUGGGAGGAAAAAUCCUUAAUAAGAGACACGGGGGGAAUGAUUAAUGGACUUCAAUGUCUGUACACUAAUGCGCAAAGCAUGGGAAAUAAACAAGAUGAGCUUGAGCUCUUGGUACAGCAAACUAAAUAUGACAUAAUAGGCAUCACUGAAACCUGGUGGGAUAAGUCCCACGAUUGGAAUGUAAUAAUGGAGGGAUACAAUCUAUUUCAGAGAAACAGACCAGACAAGAAAGGAGGAGGAGUGGCGUUAUAUGUCAGGGAUGUGUAUACCUGUGAAGAGAUCCAAGAUUUAGAACCUCAAAGCCAAAGUGAGAGCAUUUGGGUCAAAAUUAAGGGAGAGAAGAAUAACAGUGACCUCAUUGUGGGAGUUUACUAUAGAUCCCCAAGCCAAACGGAGGACAUAGAUGAUGCCUUCCUGGAACAGAUGGCCAAGCAUGCAAAAGGAAGGGAGAUAGUAGUAAUGGGGACUUCAAUUACCCGGAUAUUUGUUGGAUGUCAAACUCAGCCAAGAGCAUAAGGUCAAACAGAUUCCUCACUGGCCUUGCAGACAACUUCAUUGUCCAGAAAGUGGGAGAAGCAACAAGAGGAACAGCCAUUUUAGAUCUGGUCCUAACCAAUGUUGAUGAGCUGGUUGGUGGGGUAGAAGUGGAAGGAUCAUUAGGCGCGAGUGAUCAUGCUCUUCUGAAGUUUACUAUACAGCGGAAAGGAGCAGCCAAGCAUACUAGGACUCAAUUUCUUGACUUUAAGAAAGCCGACUUCAUAAAACUUAGGGAAGCGCUGGGUGAGAUCCCAUGGACAGUAAUACUAAAAGGAAAGGGUGUUCAUGAUGGCUGGGAGUUUGUUAAGAGGGAGAUACUAAAAGCACAACGUCAGGCAAUACCAAUGAGACAGAAACAUGGAAGGUGCCUAAAGAAGCCAGGGUGGCUAUCUAAAGAACUUUUAACUGAGUUAAGAUUAAAAAGGAUGUGUACAAAAAUGGAAAAGGGGGAAACCACCAAAGAGGAAUUCAAACAAAUAGCCAGCACGUGUAGACACAAAGUCAGAAAAGCUAAAGCACAGAAUGAAGUCAGGCUUGCUAGAGAGGUUAAAAGCAACAAAAAGGCUUUUAUGGGUAUGUUCGUAGCAAAAGGAAGAACAAAGAAACAGUGGGAUCACUCAGAGGAGAAGAUGGUGAAAUGCAAACAGGGGACACAGAAAGGGCUGAACUCCUCAAUGCCUUCUUUGCCUCAGUCUUCUCCGAUAAAGAAAACAAUGCCCGACCUGAAGAAUUUGGAGCAAAUGAUUCAGCAGAGGAAACACAGCCUAGAAUAACUAAGGAGAUAGUACAAGAAUACUUGGCUAGUUUAGAUGUAUUCAAGUCUCCAGGGCCAGAUGAACUGCAUCCAAGAGUAUUAAAAGAACUGGCAGAUGUGAUCUCAGAACCACUGGCAGUCAUCUUUGAAAAUUCCUGGAGAACAGGCGAAGUCCCGUCAGACUGGAGGAGGGCAAAUGUUGUCCCUAUUUUCAAAAUUGGGAAAAGAGAGGACCCAAAUAAUUACCGUCCAGUCAGUCUGACAUCAAUACCAGGGAAGAUUCUGGAGCAGAUCAUUAAGCAAACAGUCUGUGAGCACCUAGAAAGGAAUGCUGUGAUCACCAAUAGUCAGCAUGGAUUUCUGAAAAAUAAGUCAUGUCAGACUAACCUGAUCUCGUUUUUUGACAGAAUUACAAGCCUGGUAGAUGAAGGGAAUGCAGUGGCUGUAGCCUACCUUGAUUUCAGCAAGGCAUUUGACAAGGUGCCCCAUGAUAUUCUUGUAAAGAAGCUGGUAAAAUGCGGUCUUGACUAUGCUACCACUCAGUGGAUUUGUAACUGGCUGACUGACCGAACCCAAAGGGUGCUCAUCAAUGGUUCCUCUUCAUCCUGGAGAAGAGUGACUAGUGGGGUGCCACAGGGUUCUGUCUUGGGCCCGGUCUUAAUCAACAUCUUUAUCAACGACUUGGAUGAUGGACUCAAGGGCAUCCUGAUCAAAUUUGCAGAUGACACCAAACUGGGAGUGGUGGCUAACACCCCAGAGGACAGGAUCACACUUCAAAACGACCUUGACAGAUUAGAGAACUGGGCCAAAACAAACAAGAUGAAUUUGAACAGGGAGAAAUGUAAAGUAUUGCACUUGGGCAAAAAAUGAGAGGCACAAAUACAAGAUGGGUGACACCUGGCUUGAGAGCAGUACAUAUGAAAAGGAUCUAGGAGUCUUGGUUGACCACAAACUUGACAUGAGCCAACAGUGUGACGCGGCAGCUAAAAAGCCAAUGCAAUUCUGGGCUGCAUCAAUAGGAGUAUAGCAUCUAGAUCAAGGGAAGUAAUAGUGCCACUGUAUUCUGCUCUGGUCAGACCUCACCUGGAGUACUGUGUCCAGUUCUGGGCACCACAGUUCAAGAAGGACACUGACAAACUGGAACGUGUCCAGAGGAGGGCAAGCAAAAUGGUCAAAGGCCUGGAAAUGAUGCCUUAUGAGGAACGGCUAAGGGAGCUGGGCAUGUUUAGCCUGGAGAAGAGGAGGUUAAGGGGUGAUAGGAUAGCCAUGUUGCAAUAUAUAAAAGGAUGUCACAUAGAGGAGGGAGAAAGGUUGUUUUCUGCUGCUCCAGAGAAGCGGACACGGAGCAAUGGAUCCAAACUACAAGAAAGAAGAUUCCACCUAAACAUUAGGAAGAACUUCCUGACAGUAAGAGCUGUUCGACAGUGGAAUUUGCUGCCAAGGAGUGUGGUGGAGUCUCCUCCUUUGGAGGUCUUUAAGCAGAGGCUUGACAACCAUAUGUCAGGAGUGUUCUGAUGGUGUUUCCUGCUUGGCAGGGGGUUGGACUCAAUGGCCCUUGUGGUCUCUUCCAACUCUAUGAUUCUAUGAUUCUAUGAAAUUUGACAUAAGGGAAGAAAACCAGGGCAGAGAGUAAAUAGGGGAAUGUUCUCCUUUCAGGUAUGUUGCUGCUUUUCAGGGAAGAAGAAGAAGAAGAAGAGUUUGGAUUUGAUAUCCCACCUUUCAGUCCCCUUCAGGAGUCUCAAAGCGGCUAGCAAUCUCCUUUCCUUCCUCCCCACAACAAACACUCUGUGAGGUGAGUGGGGCUGAGAGACUUCAGAGAAGUGUGACUGGCCCAAGGUCACCCAGCAGCUGCAUGUGGAGGAGCGGAGGCGCGAACCCGGUUCCCCAGAUUACGAGACUACCGCUCUUAACCACUACACCACACUGGCUCCAAUGCCAAAGAUGCAGACUGCUAGUGAUGGGGUUGAAAUGCUUCAGGGCAUUUCAAAGGAAGCCAGCUGGCAUGAUGAAGGUCUUCUGGGUGGAAGUUAAUCUAGACCUCAGGCAUAACAAAGGGUACUGUCAUCCAAGGGAAGAGGAGAGCUUCUAGACCCUCUUCCUCGCCUGCAAACGGCACUACCUUUGAGGAGGAUAGUUAAAGCAUCUAUCCCUCCCAACCUUUAACCCUGAAAUGAUUAUUACUGGGCCUUGGGAUUAACAAAGAUACAAAAUGCAAAUGCUCCUGCUAUUGAAUUUUGUGCUGACGUGUUGCUAUAACUUGUUUUGAUAUAAUUGAUUUUAGUGUUGACUGGUUUUACAGUUAUUGGUUUUCAUUUCUAUUUUGAUUACCCUUGCACAUAGCUCCAAGCAUUUUGAAAGACAUGAAUCAUAAAUUAUCAAAAUAAAACUAAUUCAAUGAAAUUAAGAAUUUCUUUACCAAGGUCAGUAGAUGUUAGGUAUCUCUAAUAUGCCACAGACUGCCAAGGCAUCUACUGGUUCACACAUUAACCAAAUGUUAUCCUCAUUAAACAUGUUAAACAAAAUGAACCAGCAUUAGUAUUAGUAUUAUUUUAAACACCACUUAGAGGUUUUCUUACAAUCAAGCAGUAUAGAAACAUUGUAAAAUAAAAAAAAUAAAAUUUAGCAAUACUUUAAAAUCAUGUUUGUUUACCAAAAUGAAAAAAAAGUAUUAUCUAACAAACUUCAAAAGGCCAUUGAUGAAGAGGAAUGGGAGAUUGGGAGAUGAACAAUAUGCAUAUGUAAUGAUUUCAAGCAACCUUUAUUAAUUGACAUAUUUGUAUUAAAAUUUAUAGAAUCUAAAUUUUAUAUAUUAAACCCUCAGCUAUUCUCAGCACCGCUCCGGUGGGAAGGUAAACAGCGUUUCUGUGCACUGCUCUGGUUUGCCAGAAGCGGCUUAGUCAUGCUGGCCACAUGACCUGGAAGCUGUCUUGGUCUAUAGAGCGAGAUGAGCAUGCAACCCCAGAAUCGUCCGUGACUGGACCUAAUGGUCAGGAGUCCCUUUACCUUUAUUCUCAGCACUGGCUUUCAAGAAGGAAACCAGAAUGUAAUGUUAUAGGUCUUCCAUCAGUUAAUGUGGCUCUGACAGGUGCCCAUGGCAAAACUAUUAAUGUUUCCUGUGGUAUCUUAAAAGUUAUGGCAAAAGUUGGAACAUGUUCAGAGGAGGGCGACCAAGAUGAUCAAGGGUCUGGAAAACAAACCUCAUGAGGAAUGGUUGAAGGAGUUGGGUAUGUUUAGCCUGGAAAAGAGGAGACUGGGAGGAGACAAAAGAACCAUCUUCAAAUAUCUGAUGGGCUGUCACGUGGAAGAGGGAGCAAGCUUGUUUUCUCCUGCUCCAGAGGGUAGGGCCUGAAUCAAUGGCUUCAAGUUACAAGAAAGGAGAUUCUGACUAAACAUCAGGAAGAACUUUGUGAAGAUGUGAACUGUUUGACAGUGAAUCUGUCUCCUUGGAAGAUGGUGGACUCUCCUUCCUUGGAGGUUUUAAAGCAGAGGAUGGGUGACCAUCUGUCAUGGAUGAUCUAGUAUGGAUUCCUGCAUUGCAGGGGGUUGGACUACAUGCCUCUUGGGUUCCCUUACAAUGCUACAGUUCUCCCUUGAAAGACUCUGUGGACAAUCUACCAGGAAAUGCUCCCAUUGAAUUGAAAGGUAGAUAUGCAAGAGCAUUUCUUGGUAGACCUUUCAAGUGAUUUUAGCUGUGUGCUCUUAAUACUCUUAAUAUCGUCAAUCAAACUUUUCAAAGUGUUUCUAAAGUAAUCUCAGUUCCAAGGUUCCAAAUUGUAUCUAUCUGAAAAGGCAUUCUUUUAAUUUAAUAUCAGAUAUUUUUUGUUAUCCCAUACAUAGUUCAUGAUCAUCGGGGGGGGGGGUUAAGCCUAAAAUACUAUUAUUCAGUGUUGAGAAGAAUGUAUUAAUAGCAGAGCAGUUGUUCACAUAUUCCUUCUGAAAAAAAUCUAGUUAAAAUCAAUUGGUAAAUAGUCUGAGAGAAGAACUGUGUGCAUUUGCUAGCCAAAUUAAUUUUGCUUAAUUAUGCUACAACCCUACAUGUUCUUUGUUACGUUUGCAACCAUUCAAGUUAUCCCGAACUAGCAUUUCCACAAAUGAGAUAACUAUCUACCUUGCUGUUGACUACACAGCCAGUUAGCAAUCAAACUGCUGUGUAGAUAAGAAUAAGUAAAAUAUAAUUACUUCUCUUUAAAGCUACCCUUAGCUAGAACUUUAGGGUGCAUUAAGAAGAGAUUAUUUUUUUAAAAAAAUAGCAGCAGCAGCAGUAGUAUCUACAUUGUGGAAACUCGCUCACAUCAUGUAUAGUCUUUCCCCCUGGGUGUAACAGAAAAGAAUGCUGCCUCAAAGCCUGGAUCAUGGCUUCUACCUGCAGCAGAUUUUGUGGAGAGGGAGGGGAGGGGCAGGGUUGGCAUGGUGGUCAUCCCUACAGAGGAUUGUGACCACAAGGUUAAACCCAUAGCUGCCCCUCUUUGGCCUUUUUUCCAUUUAUGGCACCCAUCUCUCCUCUAGUAUAGUGCAGAUCCAAACUACAGGUCGAUUGCAACUUACACUGAUUUUACUUUGCAUGACCGCAGCUUUACACGAAUUGCCAAUCAAUCAUUCAGGGUUGGAGACCUCGCUUACCAGGCUCUGAAGGCUCUCACAAGGUUUUCCCUUUGCAGAAGAGCUUUGUAAGCCCUCUGUCUUGCUCACAGAGCUCUGGGGUGUGAGCCUCUCUGAGGUCUUGUGGCACCAUAUGAGAUCUUGCAAGAUCUUGGGUGGUUCUGAUUUCCUGCAAAACCCCCCAGGAAUGUAAACCCUGUAGUUGCUUUGGAGCCGAGUAGAAAUUUUGGGCUGACUGCAUUUUGGCAUGUUCCCACCCCCUCUCCUACUCUGCACCAUAGACCAGAGGGGAGGAAAGCACAAACAGCAGGGUGAUUGCAAUGUACUUGAGGGUUAGGUUCUCAGGGGUGCUGUUAGUUAUGUAAAUUGUGUGAGAGAUUUGCAGUCAAACAUAACAAUGCUAGUUAGUAUAUGAAGGGGUUAAGAACCAUAGAGUUCCAAAUUUCUAGAGUAAGUACAGUGAUAUCACAUACCCUCUUCUCCUGAGAGGAAGGAAGCUAAGCUUCUUUCUGUUCAUUCUCUCCCUCCCUUCCUCCUCUCCACACUGCAAGCAAGGGGGAAGGCAUGCCUCAACCUAGCUCCCAGUGUCAGAUGCGUGUCUGAGGCUGCUUUUGCUGAAUUUCAAGUACAGUACAUUGAUUACCUGCAUUAUCUUAUUGCUGUUGCAUGAAGUACAAUGCAUGACUCUGACCCCUAUUAAGUAAGUAAAUUAAACUUACUUCAGAAUGUUGUCUGUUUCACUGCAGGAUGGGAGAGGGACAGCUGCAUCAAGCAGAUGGAAUGGGAUAAAAGAAGUUUUGAAACCCAUUACUAGGUUUCAUUAAUCUGCCUAACAAUGAGAUUUAAAUUCUGCUACUGGGGCUCCUUGGGACGCGGGUGGCGCGAUUGGCAAGCCUAGGACUUGCCGAUCAGAAGGUCUGUGGUUCGAAUCCCGCAACGGGGUGAGCUCCAGUUGCUCGGUCCCUGCUCCUGCCAACCUAGCAGUUUGAAAGCACAUCAAAGUGCAAGUAGAUAAAUAGGUACCGCUCCGGCAGGAAGGUAAACGGCGUUUCCGUGUGCUGCUCUGGUUCGCCAGAAGCGGCUUAGUCAUGCUGGCCACAUGACCCGGAAGCUGUAUGCCGGCUCCCUCGGCGAGAUGAGCGCCGCAACCCCAGAGUCGUCUGCGACUGGACCUAACGGUCAGGGAGCCAGUGUGGUGUAGUGGUUAAGAGUGAUAGACUCGUAAUCUGGGGAACCGGGUUCGCGUCUCCACUCCUCCAUCUGCAGCUGCUGGGUGACCUUGGGCCAGUCACACUUCUUUGAAGUUUCUCAGCCCCACUCACCUCACAGAGUGUUUGUUGUGGGGGAGGAAGGGAAAGGAGUAUAUUAGCCGCUUUGAGACUCCUUUGGGUAGUGAUAAAGCGGGAUAUCAAAUCCAAACUCUUCUUCCUCUUCACCUUUACUGGGGCUCUUUAUGUGCUAGCUCUGCAAUUUGAAAAACAGGUACCAGCCAUUUUUCCUUUCCUUAUCCUACAUAUGUGGGUUCUGUAGAGGAUUAAAUAUAAUCAACAUAUCCUCUUACUAAUUCCCAUUAAGUUGGUCACAUUUGGAUUGCAGCUCAGGGCUGUGGGAUCCAUGGGAAGAAUAUGGCGCACCUCUGAGACUAAUACAUACCCUCCAGCAGCCAAUUAGAGAAGGGAAUGAGACAUAUAAGGUCUUGAUGUGCAGCAUGAAACCAAAGAUAAAAUACAGGCUCUACAGUGGCUUGCUAAAUGUUUGUAGUAUUUCACAUUACACUUUCACAUUAUGAAACUUUAUUUCAUAACAUACUGAUAUUGAAGUAUGAUCAAAAUUGUGCAAUUCAUAGUGUGGGGAGUAAACAAGAAAAACAAAAUCUAACUUUUGCACUUGGGGCAAACUGAAAUAAUAUUCAAUUGAUGAUGUAAUGAUUUGUGUAUCCCUAUCCCUACCUGAGUAGGUAGACCUCGUUGGUAUAGGAUUGCAACUUAAAUAUCAGGAAGACAGGUCAAGCCUUAUUUCAAAUAGAAAUUUCUAUUUUUAUUUUUUUAAAAAAUGCUUUUAUUGAAACAUUUUCAUGGAUAACAAUUCUACAUAUAGUGUCUCUGUUUUCAGUUCAGAGAGUCGUUUUUGCAGGUCAGUUGCAUUUGGUGUGACACACCUGAUAUCAUAGGCAUUGUGAGUUUGGUGGGGAGAAAAAGGCAGGGAGAGAAGGGGGUUGUGUUCUUUCCUUCUUUUGCAUAGGGUACGUGUGGAGUUUUGUGUCAGCAUUGCCUGGAUAGGUUCAUUAUCUAUUCAUUUGUUUGUUUUUGUUGGUAGUAUGGGAGAUUGGGGAUCCCAGAGCAUGGUUGGUUGCAUUUGAUUGGUUGCAGUGAAUUUUGUUGUAUGUGAGGGGGACGGGUUUCUUGGGUCAAAUUAGACAUAUUGAUUGGUAUGCUGUUGGGGAGGUUGUCUAUGUUUUUGUGUUGCUGGGCUGUAUAUGUAAUAAGGGGAAGCCAUACCAGGGUGAAGGCAUCCUCUUUUGUUUGUCCUCAUGCUAACUUCAAUUUGUUGGUUAGCUUUUCUAGUAAGGCUGGUUCCCAUACACUUUGGUACCAGUGGUCCAUGUUGACUCCUGACAAGUUGACUCCAGUGUCUAGUUAUGUGGCUUCUAGUAGGUGGCUUAUGAAUUCUUUGUAGUGUGAGUGUGCAUUGUUGUCUUGGAAAAGUUCUGGGCCAGUUCUGGAAUUGCUUCUAAUCCCUGUUUUGUUAUUUUGUGGAUUUCUUGUAGGACUGAUGUGCAAAAGUGUUGAAUUUUAUGGCAUUCCCACCACAUGUGGAAGUUUGUGCCUGUGGUGGUGCUGCCUCUCCAGCACUUUGGUGAGGUUCCUGUGUGUAUCAGCGCCAGCUUCCAUGGUGCUAGAUACCAUCUAUAGAUAAGUUUCGAGCUUCUUUUAGCUGAGAUGAAUAUAAAGGGUGAUUUUGUCUUCUGGGAUAUAUGGGAUUAUGUGGCACACAUGGUUGGCGAUGUAGUAUAGUUCUAUUUUGGGAAUUCCCAUACUCCUGAUGAAGGGAGGUGCUUGGAGCUUUGUGUGUAAAGUUAAAUGCAUGUAGUCUUUACAGAGUUGGGUUGAUAAAUUUCUAUUUCUGUUUCUGUUUCUAUUUGUCAUGUGAGUCCUCACCUGCCACCUGAAGUGAUACAGUUCUAUGGCAGGUUUACUAUACCACUGAAAACUAAAUGUUAAUGGUUUUCUGAUUUUAAGGCUGUGUACACGCUCACAUUUACUCUGCCCCCAGUGCACUCCCAGAGCUCUUUUGGGAAGUGGUGUAUACACAGUGUUAGCCACAACCUACAUUGAUCAUGGAUCUAUCCUGUAGUUUCUUAGGUUAAUGCGUCCCCCCCCCCAACUUUGAUCUAAAUUGAGAAAAAAAAUGCAGCUAGGUCAUUCUAAGUGGGUAAUGUGUAUACAGGCAAAAUGUGUUCAUUAACUAUUCCAUUUUUUAUGACAAACUGAUGUGUUCAGCUGGAAGGGAAAGAAAGGGAAAAAAAGAGAUUGAUAUUUAGAGGAAAACUAAGGAGAAAAGAGAGUGAUCUAAGAAUAAAUGUCUUUAGGGAACAUGGAUCAUGUUACUGUGCCAUUCAAAAACCUCAGCAUGAUUUAAGCCUUUAGUUAUUUCCAGUAAUACAUUGAGCAUGAGCUGCGCCUUUAGAUAUAUUUGCAACAAUUCAUUGAACAUGCUCUGGUAAUCUCUUGCUUCUCAACUUGCCUUCUUGUGUGCCUCAGCAUCAUGUGUGAUCACAACUUUCGUCCAUUCAGUUGAAGACACUCAUCAUUCACAAAGAGACAGCAGACUGACAGUUUGUGAGUACCAUGAUAGCUUUUAGUCAGAUUUUAACUAUUAAUUGAGAAUGGGAUUUUUACUUGGGAGGUCAGCAAGGAUUGGCUUAUUUUUAGCGCUCUCGCUCUCUCUCUGUUUUAGAAGUAACACAAAUUGUACGUAAUUUGAGGCAGAAUUAAUGUGCUUAUUGUAGAAAGGGAUGACAGAAACCAAGGGUGUUAACAUCUAGCCCCAGAUAGUAACCUCAGAAAACAAGGUUACAAAGUUCUGCAGACUCAAUGUGAAGUGAUCAUCUGUGGGUGACAGUGACCUAGUAUGGCCCCAGAUUCGCGCAAACAUAGCUAUGGAGCUAUGAAAGGAACAUUUCAUACAAAGAUUACCAUAAUAAAGGACAAAAGUGGUAAGGACCUAACAGAAGCAGAAGACAUCAAGAAGAGGUGGCAAGAAUACACAGAGGAAUUAUACCAGAAAGAUAUGUAUGUCUCGUACACCCCAGGUAGUGUGGUUGCUGACCUUGAGCCAGACAUCCUGGAGAGUGAAGUCAAAUGGGCAAAUUGCAAACAUGCGCUGGAUUAUGGAGAAAGCUAGAGAGUUCCAGAAAGACAUCUACUUCUGCUUCAUUGACUAUGCAAAAGCCUUUGACUGUGUCGACCACAGCAAACUACGGCAAGUUCUUCAAGAAAUGGGAGUGCCUGAUCACCUCAUCUGUCUUCUGAGAAAUCUCUAUGUGGGACAAGAAGCUACAGUUAGAACUGGAUAUGCAACAACUGAUUGGUUCAAAAUUGGAAAAGGAAUACAACAAGGCUGUAUAUUCUCUCCCUGCUUAUUUAACAUAUGCAGAAUUCAUCAUGGUUAGUUCCAGAACCUCUUUUUCUAGAAAAAUAGCCCUGGUCAGACCACAGAGCCAUAUAAAGUGGGUGUUUAUCAUCCCAGCCUUGAAGGACAUGCAGGAUCCACUUCUGCUGCCCCAACUCCACAGAAAUAUAGAACAUCUGCACAUAUUAAGGAUUAUUCCAGAACAAAAUUACGGUAAUUUGAACAAUGUUUCUGGCCAGAAAAAAACAAACAAACCAGGACAUGCCCACAAUAUAUGACUCAAAGAGGCAUUAUCAGCAUUACAUGAUAUCUGAACUAGCCAGCUCUUUCCUAUGGAGCCCAGUAUACCUGGAUCAUAUAACUGAUGAGACAUUAUAUCCCAUUGUGUGUGUGUGUGUGUGUGUACAAACACACAUAUUAGAAAUGGGGCUCACUGCAAAGUCUCUGCUUGCUUAGUGCUCAUGGUUCUCAUCCUGCUGGAUCAGUUUGUUUCAUUUCUUUCUUUCUUGUUCUUUUUUUAUUAAAGAUUUUGUUGAUUUACAAAAGUGUGCAGUGUCUCUCGUGUUUUUCCCCCCAUGUAACAUUUUUACAAAUCAUUUUCAUUUGUUGAGACAUUAGGAAGAAAAGGGGGAAGGAGGUGGGGGGGAGAGAUGGGUGAGAGAGGGGUUGGGUGGCGAUGUUUCUAUUUCACUUACUAUAUGUAGGAUUUGGUGUCAGCGUUAUUUUAUUUCUAAAAGUGAAUAAAGUACGAAAAGGAUAGGUAAAAGAGAGUGGAAAGUCUGGGGCGAAAUGGCAGUCCCAGGAAAUGGCCUGUGUUGGUUCAGGGCUCUUUUCUGGGUUGUUGUUGUUGUUUAGUCGUUUAGUCAUGUCCGACUCUUCGUGACCCCAUGGACCAGAGCACGCCAGGCACUCCUGUCUUCCACUGCCUCCCGCAGUUUGGUCAGGCUCAUGUUUGUAGCUUCGAGAACACUGUCCAACCAUCUCGUCCUCUGUCGUCCCCUUCUCCUUGUGCCCUCCAUCUUUCCCAACAUCAGGGUCUUUUCCAGGGAGUCUUCUCUUCUCCUGAGGUGGCCAAAGUAUUGGAGCCUCAACUUCACGAUCUGUCCUUCCAGUGAGCACUCAGGGCUGAUUUCCUUAAGAAUGGAUACGUUUGAUCUUCUUGCAGUCCAUGGGUACUGGACUGGGUACUGCCAUUUUAAUUCUUAAGAGGAGAGUUUUAGGUGAAAAUAAAAUAAGGUAUAAAUUGGGGGGGUGGAAAAGUGUGUCUUUAAAUAAUGUGUAAAAAGGGUAAAAAUAAAAGUAAAAAUUCAAAUAAAGGGUGGCUGCAGCAGCAGUCGUCCCCUUUUAAAAAGAAAACGAUAAAAGUAGGUAUAUGGGGGAAUAAAAACCUUUCCCCUAAAUUUCCCUUUAAUUAAUAAAAGGGGGAGGAAGGGGUUAAAAAGAAAAGGGGUUUAAAAAAGUAGUUUCUUCCUUUCUGCGAUCUCCUUUGUCAUGCGGCCUUCCUCUGUUUCCAAGCGUUAGCUGCUGGAGGGGUAGGCUCUGUUCGGGCUCAGCCACGUGUUCUUUUGGAGCCUCUCCUGCCCUCCCAGUGCGCACCUACCUCCCCUCUUCUUUCCCGUCAGCGGCAGCGAUGGGGGCAGCAGCGGUAAAGCUGGGGCUCCUUUUUCUUUCUUUCUUUUUCUUCCUCUUUCGCCCUUUCUUUCUCCCUCUUUGUGUUAGCUCCACUGUCCUCCUGGUCCUGGAGCUCCUCUGGGCUGUUGGGUGGGUGGCCGGCCGGGUGCCUUCCUGGCUCAAUCAAGGUCAUGGGAGGGGGGUGUUUUGGCUCCUCCGAUAGACGCACCGGGCACCCCCGAUUCCUCUCCGCUGGCAGUGCUGGCGGCAGCAGUCCUGGCAGCCCGGGAGUCAGCCAGACAGAGCUGUUUACUCUGGCUGGCUUCAGGAACUGUUUUCUGCCAUUGCAGCCGCCAUGAUUCCUCACCGGAAGUUCCUUGUUUCAUUUCUUUUGAAAAUACACCUGUAAACUAUGUUAAAAAAAAUGAAAUACAGUGGUACCUCAGGUUACAUAUGCUUCAGGUUACAGACUCUGCUAACCCAGAAAUAGUGCUUCAGGUUAAGAACUUUGCUUCAGGAUGAGAACAGAAAUCGUGCUCUGGCGGCGCAGUGGCAGCAGGAGGCCCCAUUAGCUAAAGUGGUGCUUCAGGUUAAGAACAGUUUCAGUUUGGGGACUUCCGGGUUGGCGCCAUCGGUAAUGGCGGAUUCCCUCUGAGUUUCUGAGGGACCAGCUCCGCGGGAUCGGGUCUGACCGCUACGGCGAAGUGGGGACCCUUCAAAAAUCACAGGCGGGUGAAGCCUGUGAACGUGGGGACUCGGCGGGCACCUUUUGCGCCCCCCCCAAACUGCGAAGGGACCCUUUUACGGGCUCCGGAGCGAGACGGGGUGAGCGGCGCGGUGCUGAGAGUCGACUGCUUCUUCCGCGGAGUGAAGCCACACAGCCGUUAUCGGAGAGUGCUGACAUUUUCCUGGGACAAUUUGACUUUGAAAGUAACUACCCGUGAGUAGGAUAAAAUUGGAUUUAAAGGGAAAAAUAACUUAAUUCGGCACCGAAGUGGGAAAGCAUAAACAGGAAGUCCGCCUUCCGUUCUUGUAAACAGAUCAAAGCAAAGAGCCUGUAAGUGGAAACUUUGAAAGACGUUUGAAAAAAGACUUAAAUCCUAACAUCAGAAAAGCGAUCUCCCCUCCAGAUUGCAGGAGAGGAGGGGGGAAAGGUUUGAACUGUAUUUAUCUGCAAAAAAAAAGAGGGAAAGGAAGCUAAAAUCCACCGCUUAGAACCUGGGAACGGACUGCCCUGAGACAAGGAAUGCCGCUCUGUGAAAAGCACUAUCGGUAAACAGAGUACUUUUGACAGCUAACUCUGCAAGAGAGAUACAGUGUUUCUGGACUUCUCCUGGCUUUAAAGUAACUGAUUAAGUGCAAUUGAAACUGUAUUUUUUUUUUUUGUGAACUGGGGGAUUUAUAAGGACUACUUCUUUUUAAAGUUGCAAUCUUUGACUGUUACUGUGUCCCCGCGCGGAGGUUUGAUAUUGCUACAAUAACAACUGGGCUAGGGGAAUUUUCCAUUUCAAAACAAAUUCUAGCCAUGGGAUUGACCUUGGAUUUCUAUGAGAGUGUUAUGGCAGAUGGAAGAGGAAAGUUAGAGUUGAUUCAGGAAAAAACUACUAGGUCUGGCAGACCCUAUCGGACAGAUACUGCAUCGCAGCGAAGAGCUUCAACAUCUGGUCCUUCUGGACCAUCUGGAUUAUCAGGGGCUGCACCCCCAGAAGUUAAACCAAAAGUAAUGUCGUCUGAAGACGUUUUGGCUCUGGCACUAGGAAAAAUUAAUGAAUCUUUGGAAAAUUUAACUAAACAAGUAGCUGAAACUAAACAAAUAAACAAGUUGCUGAAGCAUCAGUUAAAAUUGACCAAAAUACUACAAGUAUUAAUAAUUUGGGACAGAAGUUGAACACCAAUACAGAGACUAUUGAGAAAUUGUUACAGGAAUCUGCUUUGACUUGAAAGACAGCCGAAGAAGCAAAAGACAUAGCAACUGCUACUCAAGAGAAGAUACCACCGAUAUGUAGGCAACUCGAGGACCACGGUUUGACAUUGUCUAUGAUUGAAUUGAAGGAGAAACAAAGGAAUUUGAGAAUCAGGGCUGUACCAGAACUUGAGAAAGAUAACUUGACUGACUUUCUUACGCAGGAGUUUGCAGACUUCUGGCAACAGGAUUUGGGGAAGGAAGAAUUUAAGAUAGUGAGCGCAUUUAGACUUGGCAGAGGAGGAAGGAAGAACAAGGUGAGAGACUGUUUGAUUACCCUUCGAACAAAAGAGGAGAGAGACAAAAUCUUGAAUCUGCACUUCCGAAAGACUUUGGAAAUACAUGAGUCAAGUGUGGAGAUAUUUAAGGACAUUCCAAAACAUCUCUUGGAUUUAAGAUCUAACUACGGAGAUUUGGUCGCCCUGCUGAGAAGCAACAGAAUCAUUUUUAGGUGGGAAUUUCCCAAGGCCUGUCCUUUAAAUAUAAAGGAAGAAAGAUAAAAAUAAGAUCAGUCGAUGACAAGGAUAGAUUUUUGAAAGACUACGGAGAAGACUUACAGAAAGAAGUGGAAUCUGGAGAAGAGCCAAGAGCACUGGAAAGAGGAAUAUUAGAUAUAGCAAAUUUAUCUUUUGGAUUGCAUGGUUCAGAGAAAGUGACAUCACCGACAGAACAAGAACAAGCACUUGGCGCAGUUGGAGGUAAAGUAAAGUAAUCACAUCAUGGCUCUGCAACUAUUAAGUUGGAAUUGUAAUGGCCUCAACUCUCCUCGGAAAAGGAAAAGUGUUUUUCAUUUGUUAAAAAAGGAACAAUUGGACUUGAUUUGCUUACAGGAAACACACGUGAUAAGGCUACAUAGGAAAGUAUUGAUUAACAAGAAAUUGGGACAGGAGUUUAUUUCAUCUGACAAAGUUAAAAAAGAGGAGUAGUGAUUUAUGCAAAGGAGAGACUAUCACCGAAAUUCAUUUUUAAAGAUGAUCAAGGAAGAUUUGUGGCAAUUGAAAUUCAAGUUCAAGGAGAGAAAUUUUUGAUAGUAGGAAUUUAUGCACCGAAUGAGGGGAAAUCUGAAUUCUUCAAAAAGUUGCAUGAGACCUUAAUGGACUAUUUGGAUUACAAUCUGAUCUUGAUGGGAGAUAUGAAUGGAGUAGUAUCUACAAAUAUGGAUAAGGCACAAAGACAGGUAGUCACAAAGGAUGGUAGACUACCGAAAACAUUUUUUUGAGAUGACAGACAACCUGGACUUAGUUGAUACUUGGAGAACAAAGAAUCCCUUGGGAAGAGAGGGAACUUUCUUUUCUGAAGCCAAGAUGACAUGGACUAGAAUUGACCAAAUAUGGGUAACUAGAGGAAUGGCACCAAAGAUAAAGAAAGUGGAAAUUUGUCCAAAAACCUGCUCCGACCACAAUGCUGUAAGGAUGGAGAUGAAACUAAUAUCAACUGGCUCCUUCAGAUGGAGGAUGAAUGACACCUUAUUCAGAGAUGAACAAGUGUAUAAAAGGCCCAAAAAACCUUGAGGGACUAUUUUGAGAUAAAUAUGAACACUAAGGUUGAAAAAAGAGUAAUCUGGGACGCAAGCAAAGCGGUUAUGAGAGGGUUCCUGAUACAACAGAAUGCAAUAAAGAAGAGAAGCCAAAAUGAGAAGAAAUAUAAAAUUUUGGAGAAAAUAAAAGAAAGUGAGAAGAAAUUGAGAGCAAAACCAAAGUCGCAGGAGAUUUUGAGAGAAAUAAAGUUAUAUCAAGUACAAUAUAUGGAAAUGAUGAAUCAGGAAAUAGAAUGGAAAAUUAAACAAAUGAGACAAAAACAUUUGAAUCAGCUAAUAAAUGUGGGAAAUUGCUGGCCUGGCAAAUGAAAAAAAGACAAAAAUUAAAUACUAUUACAAAUUUAGAAGUGGAAGGAAAAAACAUACAUAACCCAACUGAGAUUAGAAACUGUUUCCAGAGGUAUUUUAAACAAUUAUAUACACAAGGGCCACAGAAAGAAAUGGACAUAGACCGAUUUUUGAAGACAAAUGGAUUACAAAAAAUCUCUCAAGAAAGUAAAUUAAUGUUGAAUUAUAAAAUAUCUGAACAGGAAGUAGAAGGUGCCAUUCAAAAUAUGCAAUUGGGCAAAUCUCCAGGACCGGAUGGGCUGACUUCUAGAUAUUAUAGAUCCUUGAAAGAGUGGUUAGUACAACCUUUAAAGGAAGUCUGCAAUGAAAUAUUGGAAGGGAAAAGGGCACCAGAGUCGUGGAAAGAAGCGUAUAUUACACUUAUACCGAAAACAGAGACUGAAAAGACUCAGCUGAAGAACUACCACCCAAUAUCAUUACUUAACGUGGAUUACAAAAUUUUUGCAGACAUUUUGGCCAAGAGAUUGAAAAAAGUGUUGAUGGAAGAGAUUCAUAAGGAUCAAGCGGGCUUUCUCCCGGGAAGACACUUGUCUGACAAUUUGAGGAAUAUAAUUGAUAUUUUGGAAAAACUAGAAGUGAACAUAAAUACUAAAGCAGUUUUGAUAUUUGUGGACGCGGAGAAAGCUUUUGAUAAUAUCUCUUGGAGUUUUAUGACGAAGAACCUACAGGGGAUGCGGGUAGGCCAAGGCUUUGAAAACGGUAUAAGUGCAAUUUAUUCAGAACAAAAGGCUAAACUAAUUGUAAAUAAUGUAGUGACGGAAGAAUUUAAGAUAGAAAAAGGGACACGACAAGGUUGCCCAAUUUCCCCAUUGCUUUUUAUAUCGGUCCUGGAGGUUUUGCUGAAUAUGAUUAGAAGGGACCAGUUGGUUAAAGGUAUACAAGUCGGAGCUAAACAGUACAAAUUGAGAGCAUUUGCAGAUGACUUAGUAUUGACAUUACAGGAGCCAGAAUCUAGUACUAAAAGGGUUUUAGAACUGAUUCAAGAAUUUGGUCAGGCUGCAGGAUUUAAACUGAAUAAGUUAAAAACCAAGGUAUUAGAGAAAAACUUAACACCGAUUGAGAGAGAGAGGUUUCAGAAUGAGACAGGUUUGACAGUGGUUAAGAAAGUGAAAUACCUGGGGAUUAAUAUGAGAGCAAAAAAUGGGAAUUUAUUUAAAGACAACUAUGAAAAAUGCUGGGCCGAAGUGAAAAAAGAUUUAGAAAUUUGGUCAAAUUUGAAGCUUUCACUGUUGGGUCGUAUUGCUGCGAUAAAAAUGAAGGUAUUGCCUAGAAUGUUGUUUUUGUUUCAAACAUUGCAAAUCGUGGACAAAAUGGAUUGCUUCAAGAAGUGGCAGAGAGACAUUUCUAGAUUUGUCUGGCAGGGCAAGAAGCCCAGAAUAAAAUUUAAGAUAUUAACUGAUGCAAAGGAAAGGGGUGGAUUUGCCCUGCCAGACUUUAAACUUUACUAUGAAUCAGCAACUUUCUGCUGGUUGAAAGAAUGGCUGCUUCUUGAAAAUACAGACAUUUUGGAUUUAGAAGGUUUUAACAACGUAUUUGGAUGGCAUGCAUAUCUGUGGUAUGAUAAGGUCAAAGCACAUAAAGCAUUCAAGAAUCAUAUUGUCAGGAAAGCAUUGUUUAAUGUUUGGAUGAGAUACAAGGAUUUAUUGGAAAAUAAAACCCCAAGGUGGCUGUCACCGAUGGAAGCGAAAGCUCUGAAAAGGCUCAAUAUGGAGGCCAAAUGGCCAAAAUAUUGGGAAAUUUUGGAACAAGAUGGAGAUAGACUGAAAUUACAGAGUUUUGAAAAAUUAAAAAAAUAAAGUGCGAGACUGGCUUCAUUAUUAUCAGAUAAUGGAGGCAUAUAAUUUGGACAAGAAAAUUGGCUUCCAGGUGGAAAAAUCAAAAUUGGAAACAGAACUGUUAGAACCCAAAACUAAGAAUUUGUCAAGAAUGUAUAACUUGCUGUUGAAAUGGAAUACUCAGGAUGAAACGGUGAAAUCUGCUAUGAUUAAAUGGGCACAAGAUGUUGGACAUAACAUAAUGAUGGCUGACUGGGAACAGUUAUGGACCACAGGUAUGAAGUUUACGGCAUGCAAUGCCUUAAGAGAGAAUAUUAUGAAAAUGAUAUACAGGUGGUACAUGACCCCAGUCAAGCUUGCAAAAAUCUAUCAUUUGCCCGAUAAUAAAUGUUGGAAAUGUAAAGAAACUGAAGGUACAUUCUUUCACCUUUGGUGGACGUGCCCAAGGAUUAAGGCUUUCUGGGAGAUGAUCUAUAAUGAAUUGGAAAAGGUAUUUAAAUAUACCUUCUUGAAGAAACCAGAGGCCUUUCUCCUGGGCAUAGUCGGCCAAUUGGUGCUGUCAAGGCUGCCUCAAGUCUUAGCUCACAAAAGACCAACGCCUACGUCUUCUUGUAUACAAAGGUGUUUAUUGCAGUUCAUGGUUUGCUUGACAUCCAAGGCGCGCAGCCUUACGUCUCUUACGCUAGAUCGCCGAAGUCCCCUCUGAGUCAGUCCCUCCUCUGCACCAAUUUAAGAGACUUGCGCUGCUCCACCUCUUUCUCUCCUUCCUUUUCCGCAGGGUCCUUCUGCCCCCUGGGGUUGCGCUCUUCUGGAUUCCUCUGACGCGGAAUCAGACUGCUCUUCCCCCCCUCCUGCGGGCUUUGGGACCUGGCCCCUCCUCCGGACUCCCUGCACUUCCGCGCGCCUCUACAUUUGAACUAGGCGCGCGUGCCAAACCUCUAACUUUCCUUUUGACAGUUACACUACUCCCUUCACUGCUCCCCUCCACUUCCGGGAGGGCGGCUUGCUCUGACCCCCCUCCUUUCUCUGCUGCUGGAGCUGCUUCCUCUGACACACUGGAAACUCCACCACCUUCACUGCACUUUGGUGGGGAGGCUGGUCCUGACGCCCAGCUGCCACUUUGGGAUCCUCCGCUGGCACCCUGUUCCUGACACUUCCCCCCCUGGGGCUCCCUGGCCCUGACCACCGGCGCCCCUUCUGGGAAUCCUCUGAUUCGCUGGAAAGACUCAUGGAAUCCCUUGAGUCAUUGUCAUCCUCUUCCUCGCUGGCUUGGAAUUCCUCCCCCUCGCUCUCCAUCUCCUGCCUACCCUGUGCCUCUCUCUCUGAACCCCUGACAGGUGCCAAAGAAGGAUAGAACUUUUUUUAUGUAUGCAACAGCAGCAAGAAUACUCAUCGCGAAGUAUUGGAAGACACAAGACCUACCCACUCUGGAAGAAUGGCAGAUGAAGGUGAUGGACUAUAUGGAACUGGCGGAAAUGACUGGCAGAAUCCGAGACCAGGGAGAAGAGUUGGUGGAAGAAGAUUGGAAGAAAUUUAAAGACUAUCUACAGAAAUAUUGUAAAAUUUAUGAAUGUUAGAAUGAUGUUGGAUAGAAAAUAAGUGGUUUUCAGCUGUAAUACUAUAAGGGAAUAUGAAAAAU